rnacentral:rRNA from 1 species
AUGGCGCGCGCCCCCCCAGCAGAGCUGCGCCAACAGCGCCGCCGGCGACCCCUUUUCAUGUGCCGUCAUGCGUCGUUUUGGCUAGCGAGCCCUUUUCCUCGAGCUGCUUCGUCGCCCGCAGCCGCCAGCCUCCCGUGCCCUUCUCAAUGUUCGGGCCUCCAUCUCGCUGCCAGGAGAGUGCCCCUGACCCUUCCUUCGCGCCUCCCCGACCUAUGCUCGCCAUUUCCCGCUCCUUCAGCCACCUCUACCCAUUUCCCUGUCCCCAGCACCGAUGUGGUGCUGCGCCGAAAUGCCGCCAUUGCCUCUGCUCUCAAGCCUUUGCUUCGACCGACUGCGACGUCCCCGAGCACCAGUUUCACUACUGUGUCUCUUUGCCGUUUCAUGAGCACAAGAGUCACUGUCGCCAAGUUCAUCUACGAUGACCAUAUAGACCGCCAAGUUCAACUACGAUCCAUCAAGACCAUCGUGGUGCAUGUCAACAUGAGCAAGACCACAGAUGGCUACCUCCAGAUGGAUUUCGUCAAGUUCCGCUUCAACAAGUGUACCCCCACGUGA